CUCCCGUUCACGUGACGCCCUUAUUCAGGUGAUCUCCGCCCAGCCCCGGGUCACGUGAGCGCCGCACCCGCGCGGGACAGGAAGUGUUGCGGGCCGGGCGCGAGCGCCAGGAUAAUCAGUACAUUUGCACAGGCCACAUGUGUCAUUAAUCAGCUGCAAAUACUCCCCUCGUGGCAGAUAGCACUCUUGCCUUUAGUUCGCCUGUUAAAGGAACCUAUCGUUAAGCUUUCUAGCUUUCCAAGGACAAUGUGAAGUGGAUCUCCUGCAGUGCCGUGCACACCCAUACAUACCAUGUGUGCUAGUCAUCUGUUCCAGACUCAAUGCUACCCAGUGGCUGUUGUGUGACUUUUCCUGAGGAGAUGUGAGCAAAUGCCAACUCACCCCAUAUAGUGCCAGAGGACAGACCAAAGACAUUAUUCCACCUGAGUCCCUCUUGGAGAGCCAGUGACUUUAUAGCAGGGUUACCCACAGUAAGAGAGUCAAAGGGAGAGUCAAGCAGCUGUAUCACCAAGCUCACUCCAACAUGAAAGCCCUGGAUCUACGGGAACAACAUGGAGGCAGCCCCACUGGACGACCCUCUUCCUGAGUCUGCCCCACUGCUCGGAGGACCUGGGGGGGGGUGGCUUAUGAACUGGCAAGGACCUGAGCUUCCUGGAUCUUAGGAGGCCCCCUCCUUCUUCUAAGAGGGAGUGUGUCAAUGGAAGAAACUCACUGACAGCUGUGUCUACAGUGUCUACUGCAACCACAGACCAGCUCCAGCACAGCUGAUGCAAGGCACUUCUGAAGUUCCACAAUGGGCUGAGCUACAGCUUCCUGUGAUCUGAGCCCCUUCUAAACUGUGCAUUCCUGGGCCACCUCUCUGAGCUGUAUCGGGGACCCACAUAAAUCUCCUUUGUAUCUUCAUA